GGGUGAAACGGUGGGGUAAGAGCCCACCGCGGGACGGGCAACCGGACUGGCAAGGCAAGCCCCACCAGGAGCAAUGCCAAAUAGGGACCGCGUGCGACGCAAGUCGCGGGGCUGCUUUUGCCCCAGCAGGUCCGGGUUGGCAGCUAGAGGUGCGCAGGUAACUGCGUGCUAAGAUGAAUGACUAUCUCGGGUGUGGUAACGCAUCUAGACAAAAUCCGGCUUACAGGCCUUCCGCGCAU
rnacentral:RNase_P_RNA from 1 species